rnacentral:tRNA from 1 species
GCUUCGUGGUCCAGUGGUAAGGACACUUGCCUCUCAUCCUGGAGUCCCAGGUUCGAUCCAUGAACGAGGAGUGAGCA